rnacentral:rRNA from 1 species
CCGCGUACUUUUUGUAGAACGGUCCGGCGAGUUACGCUGGCUGGCGAGGUUAAGUUCUGAAGGAACGGAGCCGAAGGGAAACCAAGUCUUAAUAGGGCGAGUAGUCAGUCGGAGUAGACCCGAAACCGGGUGAUCUAUCCAUGUCCAGGUUGAAGUUGCCGUAAAAGGCAAUGGAGGACCGAACCCACAUCCGUUGAAAAGGGUGGGGAUGAGGUGUGGAUAGGGGAGAAAUUCCAAUCGAACCCGGAGAUAGCUGGUUCUCCUCGAAAUAGCUUUAGGGCUAGCCUCAUACAAGUCUUGCGGAGGUAGAGCACUGAAUUCCUACGGGGGCGUCAAAGCUUACCAAGGGAUAUCAAACUCCGAAUGCCGUGUAGAUGAUGUAUGGGAGUCAGACUAUCCGAGAUAAGUUGGGUAGUCGAAAGGGAAAGAGCCCAGACCUGCAGCUAAGGCCCCAAAAUGUGUGUUAAGUGGAAAAGGAUGUGGGAUUUCGAAGACAACUAGGAUGUUGGCUCAGAAGCAGCCACACAUUCAAAGAGUGCGUAAUAGCUCACUAGUCGAGAGGUCCUGCGCCGAAAAUGUCCGGGGCUGAAACACACUGCCGAAGCUCAGGGAUGAACAGUGAUCAAUACAGAUCAAUGCAAGAGGAAAGCUUCUUGAUGAAAUCAAGAAGAUUCCAAAACAGAUGAAACAGACUGCUGUUGGUCUGCGUUGAUCACUGUUCAUCGGUAGAGGAGCAUUCUUAAAGAGACGAAGCUGUACCGAAAGGAGCAGUGGAUUUUUAAGAAGAGAGAAUGCCGGAAUGAGUAGCGAGAAAGAGGUGAGAAUCCUCUUGGCCGAAUAUCUAAGGUUUCCAGGGUAAAGCUGAUCUGCCCUGGGUAAGUCGGGGCCUAAGGCGAGGUCGAAAGACGUAGUCGAUGGAUAACAGGUUGAAAUUCCUGUACUAUCCUGUAACAGAACUGUGGGGACGCAGACAGAGAGCACAAGCCGGGAAUGGAAAGACCGGUGCAAGCGAGGUAGGAGUACAUCAGGCAAAUCCGGUGUGCAAUCCGAAGACGUGAUGCGGAUCGAAAAGAAGUAGAGAAGUGUGUGAGCUGGCUGCCAAGAAAAGCCGCUAUUGUUUACAGGAUACCCGUACCGUAAACCGACACAGGUGGAUGAGGAGAGAAUCCUAAGGCCGACGGGAGAAGCAUUGUUAAGGAACUCGGCAAAAUGACUCCGUAACUUCGGGAGAAGGAGUGCCAUGCGAAUGGCCGCAGAGAAUUGGCCCAAGCAACUGUUUAGCAAAAACACAGGUCUAUGCGAAACCGAAAGGUGAGGUAUAUGGGCUGACGCCUGCCCGGUGCUGGAAGGUUAAGGGGAGAGGUUAGCGCAAGCGAAGCUUUGAACUUAAGCCCCAGUAAACGGCGGCCGUAACUAUAACGGUCCUAAGGUAGCGAAAUUCCUUGUC